GACGAACGCUGGCGGCGUGCUUAACACAUGCAAGUCGAACGGAAAGGCCUGCUUUCCCUUGUGGAUUGCGGGUGCUCGAGUGGCGAACGGGUGAGUAACACGUGAGUGAUCUGCCCCCAACUUGGGUAUAAGCCUGGGAAACUGGGUCUAAUUCCCGAUAGGACUGCAGGGUGGUGCCUGUGGUGGAAAACGAUUUUCUAGUGGUUGGGGAUGAGCUCGCGGCCUAUCAGCUUGUUGGUGGGGUAAUGGCCUACCAAGGCGGCGACGGGUAGCCGGCCUGAGAGGGUGGACGGCCACAUUGGGACUGAGACACGGCCCAGACUCCUACGGGAGGCAGCAGUGGGGAAUAGUGCACAAUGGGCGGAAGCCUGAUGCAGCGACGCCGCGUGGGGGAUGGCGGCCUUCGGGUUGUAAACUCCUUUCGACCGCGAGGAAGCCACCUGGUUGGAAGGGUGGUGACGGUAGUGGUAGAAGAAGCACCGGCUAACUACGUG
rnacentral:rRNA from 1 species